GUACCCUUAGCUCAGCUGGAUAGAGUACUUGGCUACGAACCAAGGGGUCGGGGGUUCGAAUCCCUCAGGGUACGCCA
rnacentral:tRNA from 1 species